GCUGGUUUUUCUCAACUGGUUAAAGAGUUUGGCUGCUAACCAAAAGAUUGGAGGUUCGAGUCUACCCAGAGGCA
rnacentral:tRNA from 1 species